GUCUGACAAUAAUCUGAAUCAGCAUGAGUCAAACACUGGGUUAGAUGUUUGAAAUGAUGAGAUAUAACCUGUUCAUGAAAGGUUUUACCUUCACAAAUCCACGUCCUGCUUCUGUGUUGUCUCCUUCUUCUUCACCUUCUGGAAUCCUGGAAUUCACAACAAUCCGAGUUAUUCCAACCGGGACCGAUCCUCCUUCAUCCUCACUCCAUCCAUGAAACUGUGCAGCUGCUUGGGUUUGGAGGGCUAAAGUUAAAUGAAAGCAGCACAAGUGUUGCAGGCUCGGAGGAUGGCGGAGGAGGCGGCGGAGGAGACACUCAUUGUUGUCAGAGAAGAAGGGACCAUGACAGAGGUGGAGGAAAAAAAAAAGAGGAAAGGGGAAAAGUGAGAUCCUGAAGUGUCCCAGCCCUUUGUCGUUUUCUCCACUUCCUACUACUAAACUUACAUCAACCCCCACACAACAACAUGGCCGACCCUGCCUGCGGGACUGGAGCUACACAGCUGGAGACACUGGAUCCGUCCGGUGGUGUGUGGUUGAUCUGAGAGCAGCUGGGAGAGAAGAGGCGAUCACACAAGAAGAAGAAGCUGGGUACAGCAGAUUAGGAAAGAGAGAACAAUGUGAGAAAAGAGGAAAUGAGAGAGGAGUGGAAGGGGGGUUCAUGUGGAAAAAAAAGGAGGACUCGAAGCGCCCUCAAUUUGUACCAUUUUCAAUCACAAAUACAGAUCUCUGACUCCCACUGCUGGACGUGUACAUGUUACUGCAGCUGCACAUCUGCAGCUUGUAGAGAUCCCUCUUUAAAGAUGA